GGGGUUUUGAAGGUGACUGCACUGCCAUGAAGCUUCUCUCCCCACCUCUUGCUGCUAGAAACAGCCUCGUCCGUCCUCCCUCCUUCCACCUGCCAGCGCUGAUGUGGGAAUGAAGUUUCUGGCGCUGCUGCUGAACUGUAAAUUGACUUCAGGGCAGAGACCAACUCCUGCAGCAUGUGAGGGGGGUGUGUCUGUGGAAGAGCUAAACCAACCUAUUUGCUGGCUGUCACCAAGAAAGCAUUCGGUCUAACCUCACAGUGAGCUUGUUAAAGCUCAAGCAUCAAAGCAGCCUGAGAGCACAGUGUUGCAGGAACCGCUCCGUAAUCAUACCCUCCAGACCAAUUCAUCUUUAAUGCCUUGGCCGUAGAGCUUGUGAUGACUCUGAAGUACAAUCACGCUCCCAUGUUCAGUCCCGAGCCCACCAGCCUUCAUCACAGUCACCAGCUGAGCUGAGAGUGUGUGCUGUUUAGGUACACGAUUGCAAAUAAACCUGAUGGCCUCAGAAAACA
rnacentral:lncRNA from 1 species